rnacentral:rRNA from 1 species
UACGGGGGGGGCAAGCGUUGUUCGGAAUUACUGGGCGUAAAGGGUCUGUAGGUGGCCAACUAAGUCAUACGUGAAAUCCCUCAGCUUAACUGGGGAACUGCGUCUGAUACUGGUUGGCUUGAGUGCAGGAGAGGAACGCGGAAUUCCAGGUGUAGCGGUGAAAUGCGUAGAUAUCUGGAGGAAUACCAGUGGCGAAGGCGGCCUUCUGGACUGACACUGACGCUGAGGCGCGAAAGCCAGGGGAGCAAACGGG